UGUCUCUUUGGUGAUGUUCUGUUGUGGCUCCAUUUCCAUCCUGACUCACAAUUCCCUGGGGGAGAAGGCUAUCCAGCUAGAAAUCCUUUGGUCUAGGCAGGGAUCUGGUCUACAUUCACCGAUAAAGUUUUUCAUGCAGGUGGACUGCCUGAUCCAGCACCAUUCCUGGCAUUCUUGAGGACCCAAGGAUAACACUGGUAUAUGAUCCAUCAUCAAAUUGAAUGCUUUGCACUCACAUACCAUGUUCCCUAUGUGCCACUGCUGCUCUACAGAAGACCACCCACGAUCAAGUAGAUGGAAGAACAAAACCACACCCUCCAUUCUCCCUCACUGCAGCUGCCAGUAAACCCUUUAACUGAUAAUAAUGUCUGCAUCUGUGUUGGAAUCGCUUUUUAAUAUGUUUUUAAACCUUUUUUUUAAAACAAUAUCUUUUUUAACCUUUUUUAAGAUAUCUUCAAAGCUUUUAAAAAAUGUUUUUAAAGUUGCUUUGUUUUAAUGUAUUUUAAAGUCUGUUUUAUGAUGUUUUAAA